GACGAACGCUGGAGGCGUGCUUAACACAUGCAAGUCGAACGAUGAAAUGGAGCUUGCUCCAUGGAUUAGUGGCGAACGGGUGAGUAACACGUGAAUAACCUGCCCUUAAUUUUGGAAUAACCCAGGGAAACCUGGGCUAAUACCGGAUAAGUAAACCUGUGGCAUCACAUGGUUUUGGAAAGUUUUUCGAUUAAGGGUGGAUUCGCGGCCUAUCAGCUUGUUGGUGAGGUAAUGGCUCACCAAGGCGACGACGGGUAGCCGGCCUGAGAGGGUGAACGGCCACACUGGGACUGAGACACAGCCCAGACUCCUACGGGAGGCAGCAGUGGGGAAUAUUGCGCAAUGGACGAAAGUCUGACGCAGCGACGCCUCGUGAGGGACACAGGUCUUCGGAUUGUAAACCUCUUUCAGCAGGGACGAAGCGAAAGUGACGGUACCUGCAGAAGAAGCACCGGCUAACUAUGUGCCAGCCGCCGCCGUAA
rnacentral:rRNA from 1 species